UCUUGGAUGCCAUUAAGUCAGGGCAUUAGUUACUUGACUGGUCUCUUCUCUGGGAUCCUUGUUUCUUCCUUGGUGAAAUAGCAAUAUGAUGGCAGAAAUCCAUUUUCCGAGAUGCAGCAAAGAGGGGCAGUUUUAUGUCACAGUUAUUAGCCAACGACAAGUUAAUAGACAAAGUGAGUUUCAAGCGCUCGUCGUUGCAGAGAAAAG